CUACGGGAGGCUGCAGUGGGGAAUAUUGCACAAUGGGGGAAACCCUGAUGCAGCGACGCCGCGUGAGUGAAGAAGUAUUUCGGUAUGUAAAGCUCUAUCAGCAGGGAAGAUAAUGACAGUACCUGACUAAGAAGCCCCGGCUAACUACGUGCCGGCAGCCGCGGUAAUACGUAGGGGGCAAGCGUUAUCCGGAUUUACUGGGUGUAAAGGGAGCGCAGGUGGUUCGGCAAGUCAGAUGUGAAAGCCCGGGGCUCAACCCCGGGACUGCAUUUGAAACUGUCGGACUAGAGUGCAGGAGAGGUAAGUGGAAUUCCUAGUGUAGCGGUGAAAUGCGUAGAUAUUAGGAGGAACACCAGUGGCGAAGGCGACUUACUGGACUGUAACUGACACUGAGGCUCGAAAGCGUGGGGAGCAAACAGGAUUAGAUACCCGCGUAGUC
rnacentral:rRNA from 1 species